GAAUAUUGGACAAUGGGCGAAAGCCUGAUCCAGCCAUGCCGCGUGUGUGAAGAAGGUCUUCGGAUUGUAAAGCACUUUAAGUUGGGAGGAAGGGUUGUAACCUAAUACGUUGCAACUUUGACGUUACCGACAGAAUAAGCACCGGCUAACUUCGUGCCAGCAGCCGCGGUAAUACGAAGGGUGCAAGCGUUAAUCGGAAUUACUGGGCGUAAAGCGCGCGUAGGUGGUUUGAUAAGUUGGAUGUGAAAGCCCCGGGCUCAACCUGGGAAUUGCAUCCAAAACUGUCUGACUAGAGUACGGUAGAGGGUAGUGGAAUUUCCUGUGUAGCGGUGAAAUGCGUAGAUAUAGGAAGGAACACCAGUGGCGAAGGCGACUACCUGGACUGAUACUGACACUGAGGUGCGAAAGCGUGGGGAGCAAACAG
rnacentral:rRNA from 1 species